AAGGUAGCGAAAUUCCUUGUCGGGUAAGUUCCGACCUGCACGAAUGGCGUAACGAGGGCCACACUGUCUCCACCCGAGACUCAGUGAAAUUGAAAUUGCUGUUAAGAUGCAGUAUACCCGCGGCCAGACGGAAAGACCCCGUGCACCUUUACUACAGCUUUGCAUUGAACUCUGAUCCUACCUGUGUAGGAUAGGUGGGAGACUUUGAAACUUUAACGCUAGUUAGAGUGGAGUCAUCCUUGAAAUACCACCCUGGUAUGGUUGGGGUUCUAACCUUGGUCCGUUAUCCGGAUUGGGGACAAUGCAUGGUGGGUAGUUUGACUGGGGCGGUCUCCUCCCAAAGAGUAACGGAGGAGCGCAAAGGUACCCUCAGCACGGUCGGACAUCGUGCAAUGAGCGCAAAGGUAAAAGGGUGCUUGACUGCGAGACUGACACGUCGAGCAGGUAGGAAACUAGGUCUUAGUGAUCCGGUGGUUCUGAGUGGAAGGACCAUCGCUCAACGGAUAAAAGGUACGCCGGGGAUAACAGGCUGAUACCGCCCAAGAGUUCACAUCGACGGCGGUGUUUGGCACCUCGAUGUCGGCUCAUCACAUCCUGGGGCUGAAGCAGGUCCCAAGGGUAUGGCUGUUCGCCAUUUAAAGUGGUACGCGAGCUGGGUUUAGAACGUCGUGAGACAGUUCGGUCCCUAUCUACCGUGGGCGUUGGAGACUUGAGGGAAGCUGUUCUUAGUACGAGAGGACCGGAAUGGACACACCUCUGGUGUUUCGGUUGUGACGCCAGUCGCAUUGCCGAGUAGCUAUGUGUGGAAAGGAUAACCGCUGAAAGCAUCUAAGCGGGAAGCCCCUCCCAAGAUUAGGUCUCCCUGACAGUUUAACUGUCCUAAAGAUCCCUCGGAGACUACGAGGUUGAUAGGCACGGUGUGGAAGAGUAGUGAUACUUGAAGCUAACGUGUACUAAUUGAUCGUGAGGCUUGACCAU
rnacentral:rRNA from 1 species